GACGAACGCUGGCGGCGUGCUUAACACAUGCAAGUCGAACGGAAAGGCCCUGCUUUUGUGGGGUGCUCGAGUGGCGAACGGGUGAGUAACACGUGAGUAACCUGCCCUUGACUUUGGGAUAACUUCAGGAAACUGGGGCUAACACCGGAUAGGAGCUCCUGCUGCAUGGUGGGGGUUGGAAAGUUUCGGCGGUUGGGGAUGGACUCGCGGCUUAUCAGCUUGUUGGUGGGGUAGUGGCUUACCAAGGCUUUGACGGGUAGCCGGCCUGAGAGGGUGACCGGCCACAUUGGGACUGAGAUACGGCCCAGACUCCUACGGGAGGCAGCAGUGGGGAAUAUGGCACAAUGGGCGGAAGCCUGAUGCAGCAACGCCGCGUGCGGGAUGACGGCCUUCGGGUUGUAAACCGCUUUCGCCUGUGACGAAGCGUGAGUGACGGUAAUGGGUAAAGAAGCACCGGCUAACUACGUG
rnacentral:rRNA from 1 species